rnacentral:rRNA from 1 species
GAUGAACGCUAGCGGCAGGCCUAACACAUGCAAGUCGAGGGGCAGCACAGAAACAGCAAUGUUUUGGUGGCGACCGGCGGACGGGUGCGUAACGCGUAUGCAACCUACCUUUAACAGGGGGAUAACGGAGAGAAAUUUCCACUAAUACCCCAUAACAUCGAUCAAGGCAUCUUGAUUGGUUGAAAACUCCGGUGGUUAAAGAUGGGCAUGCGUUGUAUUAGGUAGUUGGUGAGGUAAUGGCUCACCAAGCCUACGAUACAUAGGGGGACUGAGCGGUUAGCCCCCCACACUGGUAACGAGGCACGGACCAGACUCCGACGGGAGGCAGCAGUGAGGAAUAUUGGUCAAUGGGGGCAACCCUGAACCAGCCAUGCCGCGUGCAGGAAGACGGCUCUAUGAGUUGUAAACUGCUUUUAAACAGGGAUAAAGCACAGUAUGUAUACUGUGUUGAAGGUACUGUAAGAAUAAGGAUCGGCUAACUCCGUGCCAGCCGCCGCCGUAA